rnacentral:lncRNA from 1 species
UCACUAUAAAAAAUUAGGGUUGAAUCUGUGUCCUCGCUAGAUCCAUAAGUCAGGCAAAAGAGAGAGUAAGACCUGCAGGUGUGUGAGAAGGAAGUGUAUGAGAAGACCCUGAAAUUUUAGAAAUGAGUAUGUUUAAAAGAAAUAGAACUUCUAGGUCCAGAAACCAGGACGAACUCAUUAAUGAUUUAAACAUUAAUACAGAUCAUAAUACAGUACUAUCUAGAGAAAGUACUUGGGAUAACCAACAAUUAACAAAUUGGAAACCACCAAUAACUCCCAUAAAUGAAAUCUACAAAAAAGGAAUAUUAGAUAUUAAAUCACUAAUAGCAAUAAAAACUAAAGAAAAAGUUAUACCAUUAU